CUGGCGAGCUGGAGCAGAGCCUGCUACUGGAGAAGGCGCAGGCCCAGCGGCUGCUCCGAGAAUUAGCAACAACAGGGCCUUCAGGACAAGCUGACCAAGAGGGACAAAGAGGUGACAGCCUUGAUGUCCCAGACCAAGAUGCUCAGGGCCCAAAUAAGUGCACUGGUGAGCAAGUGUAAGUCAGGAGAGAAGAAGGUGGACACCCUGUAGAAGGAGAAGCAGCAUGUGGAGGCAGACCUAGAGGCUGUGUCCCGGAAGACCCAUGAUGCCUCGGGCCAGCUGGUCCUCAUCAGCCAGGA